AAAUUGAAGAGUUUGAUCAUGGCUCAGAUUGAACGCUGGCGGCAGGCCUAACACAUGCAAGUCGAGCGGUAGCACAGAGAGCUUGCUCUCGGGUGACGAGCGGCGGACGGGUGAGUAAUGUCUGGGAAACUGCCUGAUGGAGGGGGAUAACUACUGGAAACGGUAGCUAAUACCGCAUAAUGUCGCAAGACCAAAGUGGGGGACCUUCGGGCCUCAUGCCAUCAGAUGUGCCCAGAUGGGAUUAGCUGGUAGGUGGGGUAACGGCUCACCUAGGCGACGAUCCCUAGCUGGUCUGAGAGGAUGACCAGCCACACUGGAACUGAGACACGGUCCAGACUCCUACGGGAGGCAGCAGUGGGGAAUAUUGCACAAUGGGCGCAAGCCUGAUGCAGCCAUGCCGCGUGUGUGAAGAAGGCCUUCGGGUUGUAAAGCACUUUCAGCGGGGAGGAAGGCGGUGAGGUUAAUAACCUCAUCGAUUGACGUUACCCGCAGAAGAAGCACCGGCUAACUCCGUGCCAGCAGCCGCGGUAAUACGGAGGGUGCAAGCGUUAAUCGGAAUUACUGGGCGUAAAGCGCACGCAGGCGGUCUGUCAAGUCGGAUGUGAAAUCCCCGGGCUCAACCUGGGAACUGCAUUCGAAACUGGCAGGCUAGAGUCUUGUAGAGGGGGGUAGAAUUCCAGGUGUAGCGGUGAAAUGCGUAGAGAUCUGGAGGAAUACCGGUGGCGAAGGCGGCCCCCUGGACAAAGACUGACGCUCAGGUGCGAAAGCGUGGGGAGCAAACAGGAUUAGAUACCCUGGUAGUCCACGCUGUAAACGAUGUCGAUUUGGAGGUUGUGCCCUUGAGGCGUGGCUUCCGGAGCUAACGCGUUAAAUCGACCGCCUGGGGAGUACGGCCGCAAGGUUAAAACUCAAAUGAAUUGACGGGGGCCCGCACAAGCGGUGGAGCAUGUGGUUUAAUUCGAUGCAACGCGAAGAACCUUACCUGGUCUUGACAUCCACAGAACUUUCCAGAGAUGGAUUGGUGCCUUCGGGAACUGUGAGACAGGUGCUGCAUGGCUGUCGUCAGCUCGUGUUGUGAAAUGUUGGGUUAAGUCCCGCAACGAGCGCAACCC
rnacentral:rRNA from 1 species